GAUCAUGGCUCAGAACGAACGCUGGCGGCGCGUUUAAGCAUGCAAGUCGAGCGGCAAGGGCCUUCGGGCCCCUAGAGCGGCGGACGGGUGAGUAACACGUGGACAAUCUGCCCCCCGGCCCGGGAUAGCCCAGGGAAACCUGGAUUAAUACCGGAUGAGACGGGACCCGCGAUGGCGGGAUCCGGGAAAGGCGCUGCGGCGCCGCCGGGGGAUGAGUCUGCGUCCCAUUAGCUAGACGGCGGGGUAACGGCCCACCGUGGCGACGAUGGGUAGCCGGCCUGAGAGGGUGGACGGCCACAUUGGAACUGAGACACGGUCCAGACUCCUACGGGAGGCAGCAGCUAAGAAUCUUCCGCAAUGGGCGAAAGCCUGACGGAGCGACGCCGCGUGAACGAAGAAGGCCGUGAGGUUGUAAAGUUCUUUUCGGGAGGGGGAACAACCGUGGCAGGGAAUGGCCGCGAGAUGACGUGAAUCCCGGAAUAAGCCCCGGCUAACUACGUGCCAGCAGCAGC
rnacentral:rRNA from 1 species